UAUCAGGAAGGAUCUGGGUCAACUAUUGGUGAAGAAGUGGAACAGGUGAACAGUUUCCUAUCUAGGAUUGCUAUUACUACCAAGUACAUGUCGAAAUCAGGUCGUGCAGACAUGAUUACAAUGCAGGCCAUGUCCUGGAAUAAGUGUAAGCUUCUCAAUUUGGGACAGGCUUUAGUUCAUAGAUAUUUAAAGACUCAAAAAGCUUUGCAAGAGCAACA